rnacentral:lncRNA from 1 species
AUGUGUGCCUUUGUCGGAUUCCCAAACCACAGCGCAGAAAGGGUGCCUAGCUUUCUGGGACGGGCCAUCCAGAAAGGGGCAGGACAAAGACCCCGAGCCCAGGCAGGCAGCUCCGGCUCCACCCACCUGGGACUCCAAAUCCCAGAGUUCACACAGGUGACUGGAGAUGCCUGGGACCUCCCAGGUCGUAAGUGGCGGAGCCAGGACUUGAACUCGGUCCUUUGUGGCUGUGCCUGGGCCCCUUUUGUCUUACGCUGGGCCGGCCCGAGAGCCCGGUGGAUGGCCUUCAGGCCUGGCCUCUGGAUUCCCCCCACCCCUGUCCAGACGCCAGAACAAGGGGAAGAAGAGGGGCUUCAGUUUCUGAAAGCAUCGUUUGCUGCCCUCUGGCUGUCCUGCCCCCUUCCCCCAGCAGAGGGAGAGGACCCCGCAGCUCAACUCCCUGAGCACACAACGACACAUUUUCUCCCCCAUAAACUGGUCAUCAGCGGGUCCAGCGAGUCAGAGCUGAAGUACUUGCCGGCUUUCUCUUCUGCAGCUUCCCUCGAGAGAGCCGGGCGCUGCUGUCCAAUCCCAGCCUCAGCCCGGCCGGGGGCAGCGGAGCAGCUGAUGGAGGGGAACACGCAGGAAAUGAAGACGAAUGGGCUCGCCCCACGCAGCUGCAAGGCUGAGCCGAAAGGGAGGGGUGGGUGCGCAGGGGCCCUGGCGGCGGCUCACGGGGGUCUUCGAGGUGGGGCUGUCAGCUUUAACAGGCAACACAUAUGCACCUUCUCACCUGCAUCUGAGGCUGCAAACCCCCUGCGGUGCUUCUCUGGGGUGCACCUAGACCUGCGCAAACAGGUGCAGGCACGGGAGGCUUGGAGCUGGGUGCACAAGGGCUUGGCCUCUGCACCUGUCUUUACCAUCCCAAGAUCUCUCCGCCCGGAGCCUGCUGCUGUUUGUGGUGUACCCAGGUACCGGUGGAGGUGGGCAGGGUGGGGGGAGGCGGGGGGAGGCAGGGGGAGACCCUGUUGUGUAUGGGGGUGCAAUUCUAGGGCUCCCCUUGUUCCCUGA